rfam:Nitratireductor indicus C115 contig18, whole genome shotgun sequence.
CUCCUCAUCCGUGGUGAUUUGGCCGGUCGGCUUGCAGCCACGUAAAACAAUUCGCUAAAAGACCGAGCGAAGCAAAAG